rnacentral:rRNA from 1 species
AAAAUGACUUGCUUAUUGCACCACAUGUGUUUUUCUUUGAAACAAACUUGCUUUGGCGGUGGGCCCAGCCUGCCGCCAGAGGUCUAAACUUACAACCAAUUUUUUAUCAACUUGUCACACCAGAUUAUUACUAAUAGUCAAAACUUUCAACAACGGAUCUCUUGGUUCUCGCAUCGAUGAAGAACGCAGCGAAAUGCGAUACGUAAUAUGAAUUGCAGAUAUUCGUGAAUCAUCGAAUCUUUGAACGCACAUUGCGCCCUCUGGUAUUCCGGAGGGCAUGCCUGUUUGAGCGUCGUUUCUCCCUCAAACCGCUGGGUUUGGUGUUGAGCAAUACGACUUGGGUUUGCUUGAAAGACGGUAGUGGUAAGGCGGGAUCGCUUUGACAAUGGCUUAGGUCUAACCAAAAACAUUGCUUGCGGCGGCAACGUCUACCACGUAUAUCUUCAAACUUUGACCUCAAAUCAGGUAGGACUACCCGCUGAACUUAAGCAUAUCAAAAGCCGGAGGAA